UACGUAGGGUGCGAGCGUUGUCCGGAAUUAUUGGGCGUAAAGAGCUCGUAGGCGGUCUGUCGCGUCGAUCGUGAAAACUUGGGGCUUAACCCUGAGCUUGCGGUCGAUACGGGCAUGACUGGAGUUCGGCAGGGGAGACUGGAAUUCCUGGUGUAGCGGUGAAAUGCGCAGAUAUCAGGAGGAACACCGGUGGCGAAGGCGGUUCUCUGGGACGGUACUGACGCUGAGACGCGAAAGCGUGGGGAGCGAACAGG
rnacentral:rRNA from 1 species